AAACAGUUCCAUUCCCUGAACGUGCAGGCGGUCUGUGAUGUAAACAUGAGAUUUUUGAACAUUUUUGUGGGAUUUCCUGGAUCAUCUCACGACUCUUUCAUCCUAAGCCAGUCAUCGCUGUUUGACAAGUUUGAAACAGGAAACAUGCCUGGUGGCUGGCUGUUAGGCGAUGCGGGUUAUCCAAACAAACCGUGGCUCUUGACCCCAUUGUCUAAUCCUGUCGGUAGAGCAGAAAAACGUUACCAAGAGACACACAUUGCAUCGAGGCAAAUAAUUGAACGUGCCUUCGGUGUACUUAAAAGCCGGUUUCGAUGUUUAGACACUUCCGGCGGUGCUCUUUUGUACUCACCGGCGAAGGUUUGCGGCAUGGUAAAUGCAUGUUGUAUUUUACACAACAUAUGUGUCGCAAACCGUUUGCCGGUGACUCUUCGUCGCAGUGCUUUCCGAAGCGGGAAGCAGUCUUCUGCUCUACCGGUGGGUAUGGACGAAGGAGAGGAUUCCCGGCGGACAUUGAUCCAAAAUUAUUUUGCAGUUGCCUAGUUUUACAUCCUGUUGAUGUAUAUCCCCAGGCCAUGUUUGUACAGUUCGUUACCCCCUGUUUUAUCCUGUUGUUGGGUUACCGCAAAUAUUUGAUCCUUUUAUCCAACUCUACCAUGGGCGAC